UACGUAGGGUGCGAGCGUUAAUCGGAAUUACUGGGCGUAAAGCGUGCGCAGGCGGCGCGUUAAGACAGGUGUGAAAGCCCCGAGCUUAACUUGGGAAUUGCGCUUGUGACUGGCGUGCUGGAGUGUGGCAGAGGGAGGUGGAAUUCCACGUGUAGCAGUGAAAUGCGUAGAGAUGUGGAGGAACACCGAUGGCGAAGGCAGCCUCCUGGGCCAGCACUGACGCUCAGGUUCGAAAGCCAAGGUAGCAAACAGG
rnacentral:rRNA from 1 species